CCCCCCCCCCACUACUUGACAGAUGAGCUCAGUUUCGCGUGCCUACUUGCAAAUCGCAGAUGUCGCUACUGUACGUAAACAACGGGUCCAUCCUUCACUGACGCAACAAUUUUUGUCCAUGCGAAAACAUCUUUUUGUUUCGUGGUGAGUGGAUGCUAACAAGAGGCUAGCGUUUCGUAUCAAAAGGACGUAUUCAACCGAAGCGCAAAAAUUAAUGUUAAUAAAAUUCAAAUCAUUUUGAUUUGAUGCUGUAAGAAAUGUAACAAAAACACUUGUCUAAACAGUAUUGCAUAUUAAUUUGUAACUGCACAUGCUAGAUUAAACCGAGGAUCAAACUAAAAAAAAAUCUGAUCUGAUAAUUUUAACUUCCAUUUUGGAUUUGUCACCAGAUAUGUAGCUGUAAAAUGUUAGCAUAAGUAGUAAUUUAUUACUGGCAUGUGCAUAAUAACCGUACCAGAGGAAAACAUGAGUUUCUGAUUAAUAGUAUGAAAGUCGACUAUUUUGCCUUCACUCGUUUGUAGUUAUAAAUUUCACUUCUAGUAAACAAAUUCAUCAUACCGCACUUAAAUUGCAUUUUCCUGCGUCAGAGAAGCAGAAACAACACAUCAAAAUUCUUGUUUAAUAUUUCAAUAUGUUUUGUGCGGUUUGUUAUUCUUGGUUUUCGUCAUUUUCAGAAGUAGCGCUUGCCGCUUUGAAUUUGACAGUACCACCCGGACCAAAAUUUUUAGGUACGCUGACGUUGUUCGGCAGCUGUCAAGAAGCUCCCGGGUUGAUUUUUUCCCAUACAAAUUUCAACCGCAAUGAUUCGGGGACGCAAUUAAUCUCAAAUUUCAUACAGUUGUUUUAGAUGCUAAGAGGAACCGAAAAAAACUUUGUUUAAAAAAUCGACCUUCCUGACCCAGUCUAAGAUAUAUUAGUCUGGGUCAUGAUUCUAUGGAAAAAUAUUAAGAAUGGAAAAAAUUUCAUUCACUUAAUAUUUUAAAGUUUAAUUUUGGUGCCAUAUCCACUGUGUAAAUUUUAAGCUCGAUCGGAGAAACUAUGUUUUAGCGCCCACCAUUCUAAAUUUUCAUACGAUUUACUAUAUGUUUUUCCUUGACAUGACUUAAAGUUAAAAACUAACAUGUUACCGUUUCGUAAAAUAAACACAAUACAAUACAAUACUAUAAGAAAAAAAUACUUUUUUUCAAAAAAAAAUAAAAUCGCCAGAAAUCACCCCAAGAUCCCUAAGAAAUAAGUCGAUGAUUCUAUAUACGACGAAGUUACACGCUGAAUGACGGGAAAAAGUCGAAUUGUAAAUAUCACCGUCUGCGAUUUAGAUCACACAUACUUAGCAUGUGUCAAGUAAGUGGCGUGUGUUUUUAAGAAAAGGCAGUGACAUACAUUCAAUCGCCCAUAACUCGCGAACGGAACGAGCGAUUUGGUUCAUGAUAUAUUUUUUUUAAACAUAAAUUUUUCAUGCAUUUUGUGGACGAGACUUAAUAGUCUUAAUCACUAACUUCCUAAAAGCUUCCGUUUUCGAGAUACUUCAACUUGAAAUUCGAAAUUUCCAAAAAAAACCUAUCUUACACCAAUUUGGAAAAUUACUGAAGAUUUUCCAUUCGCAACUUCUAGUUUUCUAAAGUGUUCAUGAAAGUUUUCACAUUUCAUUCUCUUACUCCAAGACAAUUGGAUAAGCAACUCAAAAGAUAUAACAGGAUCUAAGAAUAAAAUGAGAAUGCAUGAAAACAUAUUAAAAAAAAAAAAACAAACAACUUUUUAUUUUGAUUAAAUAAUUUCUCUUUACUUAACUGUAUAUUACUAGUUGCCUCCGGAAAAUUUUGUACUGCCGAUCACGUUGUUAGACGUUUCAAGUCCAACGGGCAAUAAAGUGUAUGAAAAUCGAUUUCCGAAAUCUCAAUUUUUCCAUGUGUUCGUCUCAUUUACCUUCCAGGGUGAAACAAAACUAAGACGACCCAAAUCGGACCUUCCAUUUUCAAGUUAUUCGCGAUUUCAAGUAUGUCACUGCAUUUUAUAUACAGGGAAUAGAUAAAAUGAUCGGGACAAGUAAAAUUUUCAUUUUGCUUUGCAUUUUUCCAGAAAGAAGUUUUCUCUAAAACUUUUAAUGAUAUACCAAUAUAGCAUGAUUUUUUAUUGGUCUAAUCAGAGGCCCAAAUAUUAUUUGUAACAUGCUCUCAAUAAUUAAUCCAAACAUUUUUUCGGCACAUCCUAAAAAUUUUGGCGAAGCGGUAUAGUCCAACGUUUUUUUUUAUGAAUCUAACUAGACUACUAUUUUAUUUUUCUUAUCGUUUAUUUAGCGGUAUAAUAUCUUGUUUUACUUCAAGUAACUAAUAAUUCUACAUUUAUGCUGGAAUCUUUUAGAAAGGAGAAAUUUCGGUUACUGCACAUUUCUUAUUUUAUGUUUGAUAAAGAUAAAUAAAGAUUAUGUUUGAUAAAGAUAAAUAAAGAUAAAUAAAGAUAGGUCAGUGAAGAAAAUCUCUAUGUCAUGUAAUAUUUAACCAAAAAUACGCAAAAAAUAAGAAAAUUUCGGUAUUUUUCUGAAAACUCAUUAGAUAGAGUUUUAUAAAAAUAUAAAAUUAUAUAUGCUUCACCAGAAAUAUCUCAAAAAAUUAUACUACUGGAAUUUUUGAAACCCCGGAAUUAUUGGAUAACGUGCUACUAUUGAUAACUAGAACAACGGCCACUUUUAAAAUAGCAAAUAGCGUCAGUAAUGACGCAAAAAAAAAUAUAGAAAAACAAUAAUUCCUGAAAAGUUUCAUCCUUAAUUUGUAAGUGUCCUGACAUUAUUUUUUCUUGAAACUGAUUCAUAGAGUUCGUUUCGGAAUUCUAGACAUUACUUCAAAAAAUCACCAAAGAUUUAACUAGGUCUUUUUUCAGAAAAUCCUCCAGCAGUUUUUUAGACAUUCCUCCAUAAGUUAGUUUAUAAACUCCUCUAGGAAAAUCUCUAAAGAUUAAAACAAAAAAUAUUUCAAAUUUUCCUGUAAGGUACCCCGGGGCAAGUGAGAAUCCGGGGCAAGUGAGACCUACAGUUAUAUUUUUUUUUCAUUUUUCAUUUUUAAGGCAAACAUUCUUCAUGGAAAACAUAGGUAUCACACCAACGGAUACUUUGAAUUCAAAAAUUGUAAUUGUUCUCACCAUAAAGGGACCAUAUAUGUUAUUGUUGUUCAUAUGUAAUUUUCAAUUCACUAAUUCAAUUUUGAGAUAAACGUACUCUACUACAUUCGUCGUUUUAAAAUAGAAUAACAAAUAAAGUAAAACUUUUUCGGUUUCAGGAUAAUAUUUGGAGUACUUGUGAAUUAUUUUAAGCAAAAAAGCUGUAAUUUAUUUUCAUUUUUUACCUUUUGAUAACGGCUCUCACUUGCCCCAGUGCAUUUCAACAUCUGGGGCAAGUGAGAUCUAUGAGAGUAAACAAACACAUUUUCACAGUGUGAUCUCGCUUUCGUCAGCCUAAGUCGAAAUUUACACAGAAGUGAAGUAAAAAUCCGCGCCUGACAUAAAAAAUCGUUGAAUUUACUUAAUUCUUUUUAUUCUGAUGAUUAAACUAUUGUUUAAAAUGGUUAAGUCUUGGGUAGAACAUAUUUUUUUUCGAAACCAUCCAUUUUUCAUGUUUUCGUCUAAGUAAAUUCUAUAUUUUUUUUUUCGUUUUUCGCUGCAUAAUGAGUUUGUCUGAGUGUUAAGAAACCGACCAUAAAGUAAGAAAAAAAUGGAAAACGACUUAUUCAUAGUUCACGAUUUGAAAAUAUUUAUUUAAUGACCGUAAAUUUAUGCAAGGGAAAACAUAACAUCUGCAAAUCUUGAAAAAUCUUUUGGCGAGAUUCAUCAACUACGUAAUAUGAAAAGCAAGUUUGGAAAUCUUUCGGAAUUUAGCUUUAUGGCGCUUUUUAAAUAAAAAAAACCAAUUUGUUUUGCACGAGCUGCUUAAAGUUAAAUCAUUUUUUUUCUCAGUGACUCGUAAAAAUAUGUGUUACGUAAUUUAUGCACGAUACCACAAAACUCUUCCAACAUAAGUCACCUAACAUAGUUAUUCGUAUAAGAUAUUUACAAUUAAUGCUUCUUUGCAUAUAAGCAGCAACUAUAUUAAGCCAUUUGUAUAAACAUUCCGAAUAGGUCCCAUUUGCCCCGUAAUUCGGAGUAAAUGGAGAUCUGCUCCACUUUUCAUUAUAUGCAUAAUAUACAGAAUGUAGAAAUUUUGAAACAGUUGUAAUGCCCGUUAAUAAGAAGAAAUAUACCAACAAUGUUUUUUAAAACCUUUGGAAUUAUAAAAUUAUUUAUGUUUGAUUUUUUUUGGCUUGACAAAACUAAACUAGCAUUUUUUUAGGUUCCACUUGCCCCGGGGUACCUUAUUUUUUUUUAAUUCUUUCAGAUAUGGAGGUGUAGAACUAAAAAUUCAAACCAAGCGGUAUGGAAUAGGCUAAGUCGGUGAGAUUGCCAUAGAUAGCACCACUGUCCAAAUGAUCUCACAUCCUAUUUCCAGAACUUGGCUGAGAAACUCUAUAAAUCUCUCCGGUUUACUCCAGGAAACAGUUGAUAUCUUUAGAAAACCCCUUCUGUCAGAAUUGUGGUUGUAAGAAUAAAAAUCUCCUCAAAACUAUUUUGACGAGUUUUUCAAGUACUUCUUGGACAAAAAUAAUUCUAAUACCGACAAAGAUACAAAAUUCAAAAGCUAAAUUAUUAAUGCUUCGAAUGAAGGAUGAAAAUGGAAGCUAGUAUGUUUGCUUAGUAAGGGAUUCCCCGAUACCCUAGGAACCAAAGGAUUCAUUACAUUUAUAUUUUUCAAUUGGGAUACGGUAUUAUUUAUUUACAUCAUGAACAGUGACAUAAAUCUUUCCUUAACAUGUGGAUGUUCAGCAAAACCUUAAGAGUGACGGGUUCGAUUUCAUUACUUUACAGUUGGUUUGUGUUUUGAAUAUGGUUGGACAAGUUUAUUUCCAUAAAAUAGUGAAAGGGGUCUCCAGUUAGCCUAGUGGUUUAGGCUGUAGAUGGUCAAACCGGAGACGGCGGGAUUGAUUCCCGUUCCGGUCGGGAAAAUUUUCUCGACUCCCUGGGCAUAAUGUAUCAUUGUUCUUUUUCUACAAUAUACAAAUGCAUGCAAUGGCAGGCAAAGAAAGCCCUUCACUUAAUCACUGUGCUAAGCUAAGAACAUUAAGUUGAAGAGAGGCAGGCCAUGCUCCAAUGCGAACGUCUAGUCAUAAAAAAGACGAAGAAGAAGAAAAAGAAGAAUCACACCCUUUCACUUCUAUUAUUAGAAUGUAGAAUGAAAGAAAUGUAGAAUAAAAGAAUAAUACGAAAUAUGUUCAUCGGUUUUUCACUACAUACCGUCGCUUUCUUGCAGCUGUCGGUUGUUAUCUUGUUUUGUUACACUCGUGCGAUACCAGACUAAAAAUUAUAUCAUUUUUUUUUCAUAUUGUGUUAUAAACCAGAUGCCAUUAUCCUGUUAAAACAACUAAAAUUGAAACAAAAAAUUAGGCUAAUUUAAUCAAAAUAAUAUCUUAUUUAUUUUGUUAUAAUUAGAACAAAAUUAUAUCAAAAUAAAAUGUGACUAAGCUUCAGGAAUAUUAGUUUUAUCAAAAUUUGAUACAAUUUUGUUACAUUAUUGUAUACUGCCUAUGAUCGCAUAACUGUCCCAUAUGAAUAGGAAACCCAAAUAUGGGACAAGAAUUAAAACUAUGUUAUUGUACAAUGAGUAUUAGCGUGGUUCAAAAAAUCAUUUUUGCUCCACACCGCUUAUUCGAUUCCUAACCAGAUUAUAUGCCUUCUCACAAAAUUUGAGCUCAUUUGGUUGAAAAUUGAGACUGCACAAGCCCGUCAAAGUUUGUAUGGGAAUUACUAUGGGAAAAUGAUGUUUUUCAUUCAAUCGACCGUAGCAUUUCCACAAGUGCCCUAUUGAAUUAGUCGACCCUUGGUAAUACUAGGCUACUCUAUCAGCUACAACUUUGCCGAAGACCGCAUUCAAAUCGGACGCCUCAUUAAUUAGUUAUCGAUUUGUAUCCAACUGGGCAAACUUUAGCUAUGAUCCUUCAGCUUCCCAGCAGGCAACAUUGCUGCAUAUGGCGCCAAAGAUAGCACACUGAAAUGAUGGCUACUAUGUUCCACUGCAGAAUGCAGUGAUGCCCACCGAUUAGUUUAACCAUCAUGAGUAAAGAUUUCGAUCCUGGAUAAAAAUCGGUAACUAAUUAAUGAGGCGUCCGAUUUGAAUGCGGUCUUCGGCAAAGUUGUAGCUGAUAGAGGUGCCUAGGAUUACCAAGGGUCGACUAACCCACUAGGGCACUUGGGGAAAUGCUACGGUUGAUUGAAUGAAAAACAUCGUUUUCCCAUAGUAAUUCCCAUACAAACUUUGACGGGCUUGUGCAGUCUCAAUUUUCAACCAAAUGAGCUCAAAUUUUGUGAGAAGGCAUAUAAUCUGGUUAGGAAUCGAAUAAGCGGUGUGGAGCAAAAACGAUUUUUUGAACCACGCUAAUGAGUAUAUAACAACAUUUAUAACAUAAUGUGAUAUGAUUAUGUUCUAGUAUUCAAAAAACACCAAUAAAGGAGAACAUGGUUAUAUUGCAAUGAAUUAUAAAUAUCAUGGUAUUUUUUAAUUAUGUUGCAUUUUUGUUAUAGUCUUCUAGUCGGGAUACCGUUACUUCUUACACACAACACGAGCGGUAGAACGAAAGUCAAUAAACAUUCAAACAAAUCAAAUCAACGUUGUCUGACACCAUAACAUUUGUCUAAUUCUAGCUUUUCGCAUAGAAUUUAGACAUUUCCGAUUACGAAUGUUAAUAUUUGUUUAUUCUUGCUUAUUAAAUCGAAUACGAAACACAUAUAGCUGGACAAUACAGCUCUCAUUAUGGAAAAAGACAGCAAUAACAAAAACCGAACCGUCCCACGAAAACGCGCAUUCAUUUGACAUUUUUGUUUCGCACAAUAGUUUGAUCGCUUGUGUUGCGAAUUUUGGAGACAAAGGAAUAUCGGACGAAUAGGUGUCAAAGACUGUGAUCGCUAACAAGACUGGUGACAACGUAAUAAACAUUACAUAGGGUAUCGGCUCCCUUAUUCAGCGGAAUCCUUGGGCAAUUUUUUUUAGUGAAAAUUCUCGGUGGAGAUUCAGGAGGCAUCAUUGGAAGCAUCUUCGCGGAAAUUUGGGAAGAAAAUCCGAAGAAUGUUUUUGAGAAAUCCAUGUAGGAAUAUUUGGAAGAAUGCUCGGAGAAAGUAAUAAAGAAGUCCAAUAACUUUCAGAAACUCCUGAAACAAUUUCAAUCCUCAAAAGAAUCCUUACAGAAACUUUCGAAGUAAUUCUCGAAGAAGUUUUUAGAAGCAUAUUCGGAAGUUUUUCGAAAGAUCUUUCUGGAGAAUUCCUUAGAGAAAUUAUAGGAUCAAUUUUUUGGCAAAAAAAUCUGAAGGAAUUUUUGGAGUAAUUCUCGGAGACAUUUUCAGAUGAAUCCUUAGACUAUGAAAAUUCUUGAGGAUUUUUUGGAUGAAUUUCCUGGUAAAUCUUUCAGAAAGAGUUUUUUUUUCAAAAAUCUUUUGAAUUUUAGUUCAAAUGGAAAUUCUCGGGCAAAUCUUUUGCAAAUUUCUCUACGAACCGUCGGAGAAUUUUUGAUCUAAUUCUGGAACAAAUUCUCAAAAAACUUUCUAGACCAAUCCUCUGAGAAAUUUCUUGGAGAAUCUCUCUGAGGUAUUCCUAGAGAAUACUCAAAGGAGUAAUUUUUGGAGAAUCUUCGAGAUUACUUCAAAAAAUCCAGGAGGAAUAAAACUAUGGAAUUCUAGGAAUACCGAGCUGUUCUAAAUGGAGUUAGAAAGAUUCUCGAAAAGGCAUAAUUAUUCGAUAGCCAAUUUUGAGCAGUUAUAUCUUGGGAUUUAAUGAACCGAAUUUAAUGAAAUUUUUACCUUUUAUGACUUGUAUUGAGAUUUGAAAAUUGUUUGACUUAACUAUAAACUAUUCAAAAGAAAAUAUACAGGGGAUGGCCAAAAUGUUUGGGAUAGGCAACUUUUUUUUCUCUCACAAAUAAAAUCAACAUGCUGUAACUUUUCAUAGAGUGCAUCAAAAAAUCUCAAAUUUUGACUGCUUAUCAACCUAUUAUAUGUGCAUCAUUGGUACAAAUUUGGGCUCGAUUGAUAAAUCUUUCGCAAAGUUAGCACCGUUCGGGUAAAACACUAUUUUUUAGACAACUCAUUUUUGAACUGUCAUAUCUCGGAAACCAGUGAACCGAAUUGAAUGAAUUUUUUAACGUUUAUCAACAAUAUAUUGAUACUUAAUACGACGUUAUAAAAUGUUAUAUUUUCUCACGGCGAAUUAAAUUAUACCGGGUUGAAAUUUUUACCCAUAUAGAGGAAAAUAAGUCAAAUUUACAAUACCACACAAAAAUUAUUAAAUGUGUUCUUUCUUCAAUCUAAAUAGGCUCUAAUAUAUCUGAUUAGAGAUAACUUGAGAACAGAAGUGGAAAAUCUUUGGAUAUCAACACUAAAAUUUAUUGACAUUGAUGUGAAAAAAUUGCAUUUUUUCGAGAAAAAUCCAAAAAGUGUCAAUCCAUGAUAACUUUUUUCAAUGUUUAAAAAGUACCUAUGUUUUAAUAGUUUGUGAAGCAUUUACAUAUUGUUAGUGUACGUUCAAAAUUUCAUUCAAUUCGGUUCACUGGUUUCCGAGAUAUGACAGCUCAAAAAUGAGUUGUCUGAAAAAUAGUGUUUUACCCGAACGGUUCUAACUUUGCGAAAGAUUUAUCAAUCGAGCUCAAAUUUGUAUCAAUGACGCACAUAUAAUAGGUUGACAAACAGUCAAUAUUUGAGAUAUUUUGAUGCGCUCUAUAAAAAGUUAUAGCAUGUUGAACUUUUUUGUGAGAGAAAAAAAGUUGCCUAUCCCAAACAUUUUGGCCAUCCCCUGUAUUAUAUUCAAAAAAAGGUUAUAGCGAUUUCAUUUAUGUUUUUUAGUAAACUGGCCAGUUUUUAAUAUGCAUUCCAUUACUUUUUUCAAUCUACUGCCAAUUAUUUUGUUACUUGUCUACAAAAACAUAUUUAUAAUCAAAUUAAUUUGAGGGAAUUUGAAUGAACUAUAAUUAUCAUCUCAAGUUUUGAAACGAUUUUGUGGACUACCCAUUAAUUAUGUAAGGGUUUAUGGGGGCAGGGGGGGGAUUGGAAACCUUAUGCGCCAUACAAAAAGUCUUAUUGUCUUAACUUAAGUUAUGGCAGUUUUAUGACCCUUAUUCGAAAGAUUACUGAAUUUUCUAACAAAUGGCAGCUUUGUAUCGAUUGGUUUAGUUAAAUAACUAAGUUUUCUAGAGCAAAUAGCUCAAAUGUAGUGUGUUUUAAUUUGUUUUCGUCAGUUAUCUUUGAAAAAUGCCUAAUAAUUUAAAAUUCUUUCUUUGGCAAAGUUGUGACCCCUGUUCUAUUCUAUAACUCGUUCUUUGACAUCAAACUUCUAUCUCUUAUCGUUUUCUUGAAAUUGCGAUUUAAACAUAGCAUUUAAGAUCCUAAAUUUGCAACUGUUACGGUUAGCACUUUUUUGCGCACUGUGCCGCACAUUUAAAUCGAAAUUGCAAGAAAACGAUAAGAGCUAGAAGUUUGGUGUCAAAGAACGAAUUGUAGAGUGGAACAGGGGCCACAACUUUGCCAAAGAAAGAAUUUAAAUUUACUACGCAUGUUUCACUAUUUAUGGUCCUCUAUCACUCUUUAAAAAGUUUGUAUUCAUGAACCUAACACCCUUGUAUAUUGAUUGAUAUAAAAGGUAAAAGAUCAGGAAUAACAUCAAAAUCUAGUACGGAGAAUUGCUCAUUUAAAGCUCGUUAAGAUAUUACAUGAUCAAAACAAUAUCAGAUAAGAUUUGUCUACCUUUUUCUUUAAAAAAAAAUGCCACCAUCUUGCAUUGAACCUACACUCCCGAUCAAAAAUUUGGGGUCACCCCCUGAAAAAGAUGUCAUUUUUAGACCCAUACCUCCCUUGGGGUCUCCAAGAAGCCUCGUGGAUAAGGCUUCGGAUCGCCAAACCGAAGACAGCGGGUUCGAUUUCCGUUGGGGUCGGGAAGUUUUCUCGAAUUCCCUGGGCAUUCCCGAGCAAAGUCAGCAGAUUGAAAACUACUUUUUGAUCUUGUGAUAUUGCAAAUUUUGAUAACAUCAAAAAGAAAGCAGAAAAAUGUUCCCGUAACAGUAAGUUGAAAACCACUCCUGCCAUCAGUGAUAGCAAAUUGAUAACUGUUUUUGCUAUCAGUGCAAAAAAUGAAAAAAAAAUCGUUAAAUGUAGAGUUUUUGCGAUUAAUAUGGAAACCUAAAUGCAAUUAGAUAAUUUUACAUAUGAUGUAUGAUAAAAUGAAUUAUACUAGAAUGCAUAGAAGUUUUGAAAUAACUUAAACACUUCAAUAUUUAAAAUAAUUUGAAGUAACAGCAAAACGAAAUUAAAAUUUGAAAUCAAAUAUAAUCAAGAUAAACCGAUAUCAAAAUGUGAUAUCAAUUUGCUGCUGAUUACAAAUCGUGUUUUGGAUUUGCUAUCAUUAUGUUGUUGGACUUUGCUCGGGUAGUGUACCAUUGUGCUUGCCUUCAAUUAAUAACUGUGGAUGUGCUCAAAGAAUACUAAGUUGAAUUGAGGCAGGCCAAGUUCUAGUGGGAACGUAGAGCCUCACAAAGAAGAAGAAGUAUCUCCGCCAAUUUGCGUCCGAUUUCAAAACCCUAGGUCUAAUUCAAAAGAUAGUAAGUCAAAGUAAUUUUAAACAUGAUUCAGGUGAAACCUUUACAAUAUUAUUUGUAUGUAAAGAUAACCCAAAAUUGCCAAAUUUUCUAAAUAAUAAAUAUAAACUUACGAUAGUGUCGCUGGAAAUUGGGUUGACCGAAUUUCAAGAUUAGAGCGGUAAUAUAGCCUAUUUUUUAUUAUCUUUCAAAUGUUUUUUUACCGAACUUGGCUAAAAAAUCUAGGAAAAAAGUUAUUAAGUAAGUUAGCUCUUGAUGUCAUCGACCAAAAGUUUGGGGUCACUUUCGUAAAACAUGGAAAAGUGAUUUAGUUAUAUCUUCGUCUUCGUCAACUAUAGUUCAGUUUUAUUUUAAUUCAAUUUCUUCCCAAACUUUUUAUCGGGAGUGUAUGACCUUAGGAUUCACAUGCGGAAAUGCUCAGCAUUCAUUGUUGUGAAUAUCAUGGGAAUAAGAGCAUAAAGUUCUUUGUUUCCACAGCUCAUAAAGAAGAAGAAGCCCGACCUUUUCCAAAUUUAGAUCACUGAUACACAACUAGCUGAUCUAAUUAUAGUAAAAUUUUGAGAUGUUUUUAUGCAUUUUUCAGAAAGUUACAGCAAUUUGAUUUUUUUUUGAAUUUUGUUAAUUUUGCCUGUUCCAAUCAUUUUGUCUAUAUUUUUUGUAUCAUCAUCUUUUCAAUGCAUGAUCGAAUUCAAAAGAUGCAAUUUGGAGUCCAAAAAAUUAAUUGCACUGGUGAGAUCUUUCCAUGUUAAAUAUUUUUUACUUUAUCAACUCACUGCAAACUACAAUAAAUAUCUUUAUGUUUAUUCUCUACAUAUUGGCUGCUCAAGUUUUCAUGCUUGUUUAGUGCAUGUAGGAAUUACCGAACUUCAAUCUAUUUCUAGCAUUUAUAACUACUUUGCCUGAAGCACAGUGAACGGUGCCUGUCGUUUAUUCCAUGUAAUCGUAUCAAAUGGACCGCUCGUUCCAGCAGCCUGCGCGUAAACCAAAUUACCACUGCACUCUUCACCUCCAAAUCCAAUUUCAUUCAGCAGAUUUGUGCAGUUACGACGAUAUUUUCCUUCUUAUUUCGGAGGAAUAUAACUGGUUGUCGCCAUCGUUGCCGUCGCCGUCGUCGUCGUCGUCGUUCACUUUUAUGUAAUUGUCGAAACACCAUGGUCCACUUUCGAAUGAAUGGCGCAAAGUUUCCGCGCGCAGCGCAUAUCGGUGCAUGGUAGUGCGGUGCAAAUUUCUGUUUUUUUUUUUAACUUUUGCUCGCACUUACUCAAUAUGUGCAAAAUUGAACUCGCCCAUUAACUUUCACUUGAAAUUUUCGUUUGUUUUUUAUUGUUCUGGACGGCGGACGAUUAAUUGGAUCCCCAGCAGUGCCAGUCAGUGGCGUGGUUGCCGCCCAGCUCGGUUCGGAGUUCAACGUAUCUUCGAUGUAAAUGCACAUAUUGGCGGUCCCUGUAAUGGGCCGAUCGUGUGGUAUAAGAAAACCAGCGAGAGUAGUAAAAUGUUAUUUUUAAUGAGUAAUGCUUGGAGUGAUGUAUGCUUUUGACGAUUGGAGUGUGUGUUGCCAACGAGCAUUCGAUUAGUCAGUCAUGAAAUUCUAAAAACUUCUGAUGCAAAUAAAUCAAACAUCCAGAUGAAAUGCUGAGUCAAAUUAAACUUAUACAGAUGAAUACCGUGUCAUUCAUAAAAUUGCAACAUCCUUUAUUUCAAUCAGAAAGGCAUAACGAACGGGAAAAAAAUUGUAAAAAUCUCUGCAGAUACAUAUUUAAAUUGUAGAUUAAGUACGUAAGUUUGUUACGAACGAUAUUUGAUAUUUGGUGCUUUUACCAAAUUAUAAUAUAUUUUGUUAGUUAUUAUCAGAAGAAAGUGUAAGUAAAGGAUCAGCAUAAAUUAAAAUAUAUAAAAAAUCUUGUUAUGUUCUUCAGAUCGGUAUUUACACCGGGAUAAUAAUUAAAUAUCAAUCCAGCUUGAACCAAACUCAGUAGGAAAUUCUACACAUUCUCGGAAAAGCUCCACUGAAGUCGAAAAUUUUCACAGUUGGAUGCUUUCCUCCGCCCAGGUAGCGCGCAUUCGUUUCCUACACGGUUUCAGUCGUUUCGAAACACUUUCUUUCGAUCGGUUUUACUUUCCUCAUAGGAACCGCCACGAGCACUACUAUAAUGGAAAACAUAAUUUAUCAACAUCAACAAUGACGACGACGACGACGACCAGGCUGAAAACAAGGGCCGGCCUCCUCUCGAGUAGAGUAAUACCUACCUUUACGAUGAUGACUAGACGAGGGCAGGCAGUGAAGUACCUAAAAAGCGAAAAACACGGGAGUCUACCGCGAGUCGCGACAGCAGCAACCAAGACGAUGACGACAACACAAUCUGGGCAACACUUUGCCACAGUUCCACUAUGACUAUUAGGUACCAAAUGGCAGCCUAGUUCAUGCUCACAUAGCAUACAGUUUGAUUUAAAAAUGUUUGUAGAAAUUUUUAAAACAUUUUUCUAGUUAAACUACUUAAGUAAUUCUUGAAGCAGUGUUUGGAAUUCCAGGAAUGCUCGUAGAAACCUCUGAUUGAUCUAUUUAGGCAAUUCCAGGCUUUUGAAUGGAUUCCUGAACUGCCAUAGAGUUCCUGGCGUAUUCCUGGAUCUCUACUGAAUAAUAACUUCACUUAUCGUUUUUACUGCACUCAUAGUCAGCCCACCAUAGCCUGUCGUGUUUACUAGCGUGACUUGGUGUAUGAUAUAACUCGUGUAUUGCAGACAGCACCUGAGGCCCAAAAACACCAAACGCUUUCCGAAAGACUUCCCUCAACGUCGAAGUUUCGAAAGAAAGAUACUACACCAUCUUCGGGUAGUAGCGAAGGAACUCCCACAGGUAUCUAUAAUGGAACUUCUAGAAAAAUUUCCGUCCCAAAAAUUUUGAGAAGAAUUUCCGAUGAAACUCCUACAGGAACUCCUGGUCGCACUCAUUCCCAGUGGAUCUCCUAGAAAAACAAUUUGUGGAACUCCAAGAGACAUUAAUAUUUCAACCCCAAGGAGAACUCCCAAUUCGUGUUGGAACUGUCGAGAAAAACUCCCAGUGGAACUUGCAAGGGAAUUGCCGGCGGAAAAAUUCACAGUGGAACCUCAAGAGGGACUCUCGAUGGAACUCCUAGAAGAUUCCAUGAUGAGACUCCUGUGGGAACUUGCUGUAAUACUCUUGCUGCAAUUCUAGGUCAAACUCGCAUAGGAAUUCCGGAUGACUGCUGGAGUUUCGGUCAGGACUUAAAUUUCCGGGGGUGUUCCUUGAGAUUUUCUUGUAGGAUUUCCUGGAGGAACUCCUGGUGGAAUUUCUAGAGCAAUUUUCGCUGGACCUCCUGUGGGAAUUAGUGGUAGUACUCCUGGAGGUAUUUCCAGUGGUUCUUCUAGGGCGAUUCCCGAUAGAACUCCUGCGAAAAUUUGCGCUGAUGUUCCUCAAGAAAUCCCAUGUGGAACUAGUUUCAAAUGGAACAUCUAGAGAAAUUUUAGUCUAGUCUACACAUGCACAUUGCACACUGCACAGUCAUCUAUUUGAAAAAUGAAAAAGAAGACUAGCUUCAUCAUUUUUUUCUCAUCUAUAUACAGCCAUUCCAUAGAAAAACGAUAUAGGGCAUCUCCGAUUGUCGUGAAACUUGGUGGGCUUGUAGUUCUUUGUAAAUAAUUAGACCCGUAUUUUUUUUAUUUAGUCAUUAGGGUGACCAAUUUUCAUAUAGGGUGGUCCAAAAAAUCAAGGUUUUCCAAAACUAAAAAUUUUCAAAAAAUCGUAACUUUUAAACCAUUUGACCGAUUUUAAACUUAUUUUUUUUUGUUUGAAAGCUAUUGAAUUGUAGUUUUCAGGAAAAAUACGUUAAAGAGGCUAAAAUGUAAAGAGUACUAUAAAAUAUGCAAAUAUUUUAGUUUUUUCACGUAUUCAUGGUCUCGGGACCAAAGAGGUACCCUGGUUUUAUAUUUUUAUCAGAAAAUUCAGGAAAUUUGGCGUGACAUAUCAAAAAAUCAGAAAUGUAUGUUGUUUUGUUUUUGAGAUAUGAUUAUUUGAAAAUACAAGGUCAAAUUUUCCCAUACAAGACACUUCUUUAAAUUUGAUUAUAUUUUGAUUCCUUAUAAUAUUUUUAUUUAUUCUUAAUCACUUAACCUAAUUUACAGCUCCUUUGUCCACUAGGGCACUACGUGAGCGAUUCCAAUGGAUUACCCGCUUCGGCCAAAAUUGCAACAGAUGGCGCUAGUGGGCAGGAGUUUUUUACUUUUAAAAUGUAUGGAGAAAUUGAUAAAAAUUAGUUUUUUGACUUAUUAAAGGUUUUAUUGAAAAAAAUAUUUGGUACAGGUUGUGAGUAAUAAUGAUAGUAAUUUGCGUUACCAAAUAUUUUUUGCAAAAACUUCGAUAUAUUUGAAAUAUUAGGAAAAAUACUCAUUCCACCAUACAUUAUUUUUGCCGAAAACUUCUGCUCGAUAUUGGUUGAUCUUUAUUUGCCUAUACAUGGGGUCACUAAUAUACAUGGAUUCAUGUUUACCCAUCUGUCAAUCAUUCGUAACAAAAAAAUUAAAAAAAAAAGUUAGGAGCUGUUGGAGCGGCGCAAAAAUCUGCGGGUAGUCCAUCCACCGCCGCAACGGUCAACUUGCAGCCGUCGUCGGCCGUCCGGCAUAUUGUAUAAUUUUUAUGGUCUUCUCGGAUAAAAAGAAACAGUGGCAGUGUCGCUGCGUGUCUUGUGCAGGUAGGUGUAUCCCCUGGAGCUGGAGGACGAAGAGAUUGACACCGAUUUACCCUUCCUACUAGAGGCGAAAUUUAUUUGUUCAACAUUUUCCGGCCACUGAUUGUGCAGAUCCAUCCAUCGGCUUAUUUUCAACACUCGUGGUGUUCUUCUUCGGCUGGAAGGUGAUGGCGUGAUGGUCGGUUAGAAAUAUGUACAUACAGCAGUCAGAUCCCUCCUGGCCAUGGGCCUCUAUCCGGUCGUGGGUCACUUGAACUGGACUACCUUCAACGUUGAAUAUCUCAACAGGGAUCACGAUCCCCCCGGCCAGUAUCUCCUCCAAGUGAAACAGGUCGUAUCGUAAUUCUACGAUACCAUCCCGCUGUACUCCAGCGACAUCGGACUGUUGACUCCCGGAUCAAACGGAAGGCGAGAAGACCGGAACGCUUCUUCACCGGGUUUUUUCCUGGCAAUCAUGGCUGUAUUUAUCAUUCCGGUUACUAAACAACACCAUUGUAGACAUCUCCGUUCUGGUCAUCGUCAACGUUAGAGAAUGGAAUGAUUUAUUUUUACUAUUAUAGUUUGUAUUUGUUUAUUAAUAUUAAAAGCAACUAGGGGAGGGGAGGGGGGGGGGGGGUAUAUUGGUUGGUUGUUUUGCUGGGCUUUAAAAGAAACCGAAAAUCCACGGGUAGAUUCCAUCUCAUGCAGAGUUCAUACUUUAAAUAGUUCAUUAGUGGUUCUUACAUUUUAUUUUAAGUCAAUACUGCAAGGUCUAUCCUUGCAAUCAUGCAAUCUGUCCCAAAAUUUAAAAAUAGCUCAAAAUUGAUUGUGGUCACGUGGUUCACCAUAGCCGUAGCCAAAGCUGGUUCACCAAGUUUUCUCAAGUUGUGAGAUGACAUGUUUUUAUUUCAAGAAUCACACUGUUUGUUGAAAAAACCUUAAAAUAGUUCGAAUCGAAGCCUGUUUUAUCAAAUUGUUUCUUAUAAAGCUUUGAUAUGGUCCAUACGUGAUUCUUGCGGUUAGUCAGAAAAAAAAUCUAAACUGGUUCACCAAGUUCUCCCAGGUUGCGAGGUGACACAAUACAUGACUUUUGAACCAAUUUGUUUCUUAUAAAACUUUGAAAUGGUUCAUAAGUGGUUCUUGCGUUUAGUCAGAAAAAAUCUGAAAUGGUUCACCAAGUUCUCCCUCCCAGGUUGCGAGGUGA